CGCACAUUGCGCCCCUUGGUAUUCCGAGGGGCAUGCCUGUUCGAGCGUCAUUUCACCACUCAAGCCUGGCUUGGUAUUGGGCGUCGCGGCUCCGCGCGCCUUAAAGUCUCCGGCUGAGCUGUCCGUCUCUAAGCGUUGUGGAUCAACGAUUCGCUUCGGAGUACGGGCGGUGCGGCCGUUAAAUCUUUCACAAGGUUGACCUCGGAUCAGGUAGGGAUACCCGCUGAACUUAA
rnacentral:misc_RNA from 1 species